GCAGAACUGAUCCAUGGAGGCUGGUGGAUGGGCAGCACAAUGGCGGGGACCCAGGAGGCUGGUAAAUGACUCAGGCUCUCCCACCUGCUCCUUCUGCUUUAUUUACAAGGGGAAAUCAUACUCUUCAAGCACUAGAGAGGGAAGCCAAGACAAGUGGCUCUGGUGCGCGACCACCACCAACUAGGACAAUGAUGGCCGGUGGAAGUUCUGCUCACCCAAGGGUACAAUUCUUCCUAUCAUUAACUGUGAAAUCAUCGUGCUAUUACACCAUCUGCAGCAGACUUAAUGGGGAGCAAAUAGAAAGAACACAUUUU